CCUACGGGAGGCAGCAGUGGGGAAUUUUGGACAAUGGGCGAAAGCCUGAUCCAGCAAUGCCGCGUGCAGGAAGAAGGCCUUCGGGUUGUAAACUGCUUUUGUACGGAACGAAACGGUCUGCUUUAAUACAGUGGGCUAAUGACGGUACCGUAAGAAUAAGCACCGGCUAACUACGUGCCAGCAGCCGCGGUAAUACGUAGGGCGCGAGCGUUAAUCGGAAUUACUGGGCGUAAAGCGUGCGCAGGCGGUUAUAUAAGACAGUUGUGAAAUCCCCGGGCUCAACCUGGGAAUUGCAUCUGUGACUGUAUAGCUAGAGUACGGUAGAGGGGGAUGGAAUUCCGCGUGUAGCAGUGAAAUGCGUAGAUAUGCGGAGGAACACCGAUGGCGAAGGCAAUCCCCUGGACCUGUACUGACGCUCAUGCACGAAAGCGUGGGGAGCAAACAGGAUUAGAUACCCUGGUAGUCCACGCCCUAAACGAUGUCAACUGGUUGUUGGGUGCAUUAGUACUCAGUAACGAAGCUAACGCGUGAAGUUGACCGCCUGGGGAGUAACGGCCGCAAGGUUGAAACUUAAGGAAUUGAGGCUUGAGACGNGCGAGNGACGACGAGGAGAGG
rnacentral:rRNA from 1 species